GAUGAACGCUGGCGGCGUGCUUAACACAUGCAAGUCGAACGGAAAGGCCUCUGCUUGCAGGGGUACUCGAGUGGCGAACGGGUGAGUAACACGUGGGUGAUCUGCCCUGCACUUCGGGAUAAGCCUGGGAAACUGGGUCUAAUACCGGAUAGGACAAUGGUUUGGAUGCUGUUGUGGAAAGUUUUUCGGUGUGGGAUGAGCUCGCGGCCUAUCAGCUUGUUGGUGGGGUAAUGGCCUACCAAGGCGUCGACGGGUAGCCGGCCUGAGAGGGUGUACGGCCACAUUGGGACUGAGAUACGGCCCAGACUCCUACGGGAGGCAGCAGUGGGGAAUAUUGCACAAUGGGCGCAAGCCGGAUGCAGCGACGCCGCGUGGGGGAUGACGGCCUUCGGGUUGUAAACUCCUUUCGCUAGGGACGAAGCGUUUUUGUGACGGGACCUGGAGAAGAAGCACCGGCUAACUACGU
rnacentral:rRNA from 1 species